AGUUAAUUAUGGUAUGGGAUAACGUUUUACAGAAAAUCUAUUUAUUCUUCUUUCUUUGUACAACUGGUCAUUUGUGGUUUUUCUUCUAAUACUUUGGUAAAGAUUGCUUUCGACGAGGUUAUGUUGUUCUUUCCUAUCUUUGCUUAAUUCUAUUUUUUAUGCGUUGAUUAAUAGAGUUUAUUUUAACUAUGGUUGUCAUUUUAAAUGAGGAACUUGUUUUCAGGAGAAAGGUCGAAUGGGGCUCGCAGCUCUUGCCGUCGCCGACGAGGGAAGAAGUUUGAGAAAUUCGUCUUUGGUCAUUGAACUAGAGUUGUAGAUUGUGAAGCACUUGGAGAGGCUGGUACAUCUAUGGAUAGGAAGAAGUUGGGGGACAUUUUGAUUUCACUGAAAGCACAUGAAAGUAAAGUAAAGGAGUUGAAGGGUGUAGUAGCUUCUAUUAGACAUGGUGUUUUCGAGCUACGUGCUACUGGUUUGAGAGAAUAUGAAGAUGGAAAAUCAUUUGAGGUGUUUUUUGAGAAGGCAUGUUGCUUAAUGGGUGAAAUUAGUAGUUGUGAGGAAAAUUUAUAUACUCCAGUUUGUUCUUUGAAUGUGGAAAGGGUGGAAGAGAUAUUAGACGAUGUUCCUGUAGUUGAAUAUAGGUUAAGUAAUGAAAUCAUGGAACAUAUAAGUGGUUUUUUUUUCAGGAUUGCAGGGGAGCUGAUCGACGUUCAUAUAUUAAUUUGGAGGAGAAUAUCUUGAAAAAUAGGACAAGUGAGGAGAAGAAUAGUGUUUUUGAAGUGGUUGGAAAUUUUGAUUUUAGUAAAGGUUGCAUGGCGUGCGGUGAAGCGGAUGAGAUGUCGAUACAAUUGGAUGGUUUGAUUGAAUUGGUUGGAGGUAGUAAUGAUAGACGGGUGGGUGGAAUUGGGAUGUUUAAAGAUAAGAUUUUAUGGAAUUUUAAGGUCGCGUGUUUUGGAGGGUCUGUUUUUUACAGUGAAAUGUAUGACAUUGGAGAUGCUGAAAUUAAGGCUAUUUUUCGGAAGGUAAUUAUUUUCGUUUUAGUUUUAUUCAAUGAAUAAUUUGAUUAUAAUUGUUCGAGGAAUUUGAAAUGUUUUCGCCCUAUAUUGUAGGAUAGUAAUAAAUCUGUGGUUUUUUUUGCGAUGGUACUUAAUUGUGGUUUAUUGGGAGGUUUGGAGAGUAGGAGCGAUGUAGAGAAAUUGCUAAUGAAUUAUGUGAUGGACCCUAAGAUGCCUUCAAAGUAAUUAGAAAUUUGUUAAAAAAAAAAGUAUAUUUUGUUUUUUGAAUUUAAUUAUGAUGUCCAACAAAUUAAUAUAACUAUUUUAAUUUCUCAGCGAGAUAGUUUUUGUGGGAGACAUAGUAGUUAUUCGGAGGCGAGAUUUCUUGACUUUGGUUGAGAAGACCCUUGUUAGCGCAAGAGUAAGGGUGUCAUUUAUAUCGUCCAUCAUACAAUGUAGUUGUUAGCAUGUGCGAUGACCAUUUUUUAGAUCAUAAGUUUUCUUUUUAUAUUUGCGAAGGUUGUCAAUUGUUUGGUGGAUAUUUUAGCUGCAGUGCAGGUUGAUAGGCAUGGGAAGAAAAUGAAAUUUUGGUGGAUCCCAACUGCAUUAUCUAUGAGUAUCUUCAGUAGUAUAUUAGAAUUUAUUGAAAUUAAAGAGUUUUAAUGUAUUGGUGAUUAGCAAAUUUGUAAUUCAUUUGACUGGCGGCCUGAUCCUGGAUCGUAUUGCACUAUGAGUCAUAGAAGUAGAUGGGUUGAGUGGUGUGGAGAACUUAUGCAUUUUGAGAAGGUGUAUGUUCCUUUGCUGGUUAAGAGACACUAGUUUUUAAUUAUCUUAAACAUGUUGGAGAAGAGAGCAAAUGUUUUUGAUAGUUUUAAAACUCCUUCAUAUCACCUCUUAGUUGGUAUAGUCUACACUAUGGUGGGUAGAGAUAAGUUAGCGUGCAAGUUUUAGAGAAUACUUUGUAUAGUUGUUGAAUAUGUAUUUUAUUUGUUUUUAGACCUGUUUUGUUUUUCAUGUUUUUGAGUAGUUGUUGUCCCUAGACCAUGCCAUCUGUGAAGAAUUGAAUAUGAUCUAUGGAGACAAAAAAAAUUUCAAGGGGUUUAACAACGUUGAACCUAUUUCCCAUCGAAAGGAAUGUGUUGAUUAUGACUGUAGUGUGUACUUGAUGAAGAUGCUCCUACAAGAAUAUGUUCAGGGAGUGUUGGUGGAAGGGGAAGAAGAUGUCAUAGAGGAAUACGUCCCUGGGAGACCGAUACGUUUAGGGCCGACUAACGUGAUACAGGAGUUUGAAAGGGAACUUAUUGGUGGAAGAAUAUUGACUUCGCGUUUGAACAAGGCACGAGAUAUUUUAAUGGAAAAAGUUGUUCAAUUUCAGCCACGUCAAUAACAUUGUUGCCCCUAUAUCUGCAUAGUCAUUUUAACUUAAUGUUGUAUUUGACUGCCUUUGUGGCUGAAAUUAGUUUAUUGGGUAUUAAUAUGUU